ACGCUCGACACCUACUGGAGGCAGCAGUGGGGAAUAUUGCACAAUGGGGGAAACCCUGAUGCAGCGACGCCGCGUGAGUGAAGAAGUAUUUCGGUAUGUAAAGCUCUAUCAGCAGGGAAGAAAAUGACGGUACCUGACUAAGAAGCCCCGGCUAACUACGUGCCAGCAGCCGCGGUAAUCUGAGCGGGCUGGCAAGGC
rnacentral:rRNA from 1 species